rnacentral:rRNA from 1 species
UUGAACGCUGGCGGCAUGCUUUACACAUGCAAGUCGCACGGCAGCGCGGGCUUCGGCCUGGCGGCGAGUGGCGAACGGGUGAGUAAUACAUCGGAACGUGCCCAGUAGUGGGGGAUAGCUCGGCGAAAGCCGGAUUAAUACCGCAUACGACCUGAGGGAGAAAGCGGGGGAUCUUCGGACCUCGCGCUAUUGGAGCGGCCGAUGGCAGAUUAGCUAGUUGGUGGGGUAAAGGCCUACCAAGGCGACGAUCUGUAGCUGGUCUGAGAGGACGACCAGCCACACUGGGACUGAGACACGGCCCAGACUCCUACGGGAGGCAGCAGUGGGGAAUUUUGGACAAUGGGCGAAAGCCUGAUCCAGCAAUGCCGCGUGUGUGAUGAAGGCCUUCGGGUUGUAAAGCACUUUUGGCGGGAACGAAAAGGACUGUGCCAAUACCACGGUUCGAUGACGGUACCCGCAGAAUAAGCACCGGCUAACUACGUG